UCUUGGUCUAGUUUAACUAGACAAAGUUAAAUAUUUAUUUAGGUGGCAUGGAAGGUGACGGGUGCAACGAAAGAUCUCUGGCAACUGUUUAUUUAAAACACAGCUCCCUGCGAACUCGCAAGAGGAUGUAUAGGGGGUGACGCCUGACCAAUGCUAGAAGGUUAAAUAUCGGUGGUGUAUGAAUUUCGGUUUGUAUGCUGGCUGAUAUAAGCCCUAGUGAAUGUCGGCCGUAACUAUAACGGUCCUAAGGUAGGAGAAAAAGCUGCCUUAGUAAAAUUUAGCCAAAUGCUGGAAACUCUGUGGUUUACUCUUUUUUAAGAUAAAGGGGAAAACCUGAAGUAUCUGAUGCUACUAUGGUAUAAUUAUUCCAUAUAUUUAUGCCAAGUAAAAAUGCAUUCAGUGCAGAUAAUCAGCAGGAAAGACUAAAAAUUGAAACAAUGAAUCGCAAAAAACCAUCUUAAUUUUUAGAAUCCUCAGAGACUACACGCUAAACAUCUUAUGACUUGGUCAUAUAAGAUGAAGAUAUAGUCCGACCUCUAUGGCGACAUAGAGAGGUAGAAUGAAAGUUUUACCCGCCACAUUUGUUGUGGUUAGUAGUCUCAGCUCAAAUCAAAAAGAGACGAAAGUAACAUGGUCUGAGCGAAAUUCCUUGUCUGGUAAGUUCAGACGUGCACGAAUGGCGUAAUGACUGGAGAACUGUCUCGGGGAACAGCUCGGUGAAAAUGCAAUACCGGUGAAGACGCCGGUUACCUGCAGCUAGACGAAAAGACCCCAGAAGCUUUACUAUAGCUUGAUAUUGGGUGUGUGUCGUAGAUGCGUAGCAUAGGUGGGAGACUUUGAAAGUUCGGUUUCGGUCGGACUGGAGUCGCCAGUGAAAUACCACUCUUCUUUAAUGCGCAUCCUAACCUUUGCGGAAAAAACGCAAGGGAACAGUAUCUGGUGGGUAGUUUGAGUGGGGCGCUCUCCUUAACUUUGCGCUCUUCUUAAGGUCUUGUAAAUAAAUAACCUCCUCAAUUUCAUCUAAGCGAAAUUGAGAAUGUUAUUUAUUUACAAGACCAAAGACCAAUUCCUUCUGUUUUGGUCAAAUUAAUAAAAGGGGACUCUCAUUGAUAACAGUGAGAUGAUAAAAAUUUGGAAAGCUAUUGUUUUCUGAGUUUGAACUUGGCUAUAUGCUGGAACACCCGCAAGUAUCCUUAGGUACUUUAAAUAAUAAUUUAUUAUUUUAUUGUUUAAAGUAAAAAUCCAAAGGUGAUGCGGACAAUCAGCAGGGAAGUCUUGUAAUUUAACUUUUUAGAGUAAAAUUAUAAUGACCCCUCAGAGACUAAACGCCGAGUCACCAUAUUAUUUAUUUUUAAUAAUAAUAUGGUGAAAGAUAUAGUCCGAUCUUUAUGGCGACAUAAAGUUCUUGUAAGAGAAACCAAUAAAAUAAAAUACUGGCCUCAAAAGAAAUUCAAGACACAAAAACACAUUGGUAACACAAAUGCCUAAAAAGUAACGGAGGAGUCUAUUAAGGUUCCCUAGGCGCGAAUGGAAACCGUGCUGAUAGUGUAAUGGCACAAGGGAGCUUGACUGUAAGGGGUACAUCCCAAGCAGGUGCGAAAGCAGAGCAUAGUGAACCGAAGGUCCGCUUUAGACGCGGCCUGAGAUUAUCGGAUAAAAGCUACUCUGGGGAUAACAGGCUGGUUCCGCCUAAGAGUCCAUAUCGACGGCGGAGUUCGGCACCUUAACUUUAAGUUAUAAAUUAAACUUGACAUCGGGGUGCCUAUAGCAGUAAUGCUAUAUAAAAAAAAUUGGCUUA
rnacentral:rRNA from 1 species